AUGAACAAUUGCUCAUCCCCUGAAACAUUCAGAGAUGAAGAUAUUUCAGACAGAAGUAACCUUUUCUCUGAGGACUGUGUCAAAUAUAAGAACUCAACUCUCCUGGACUCCAGCAAAGCAAUGACCAUAGACAAGAUGCCACAGAUCUCAAAUCUGUCAGCAAUAUUAGAACCUAUGCUGGAGGAUUUUCAAGACCAAUACACUAGAAGAAAUAAACCAUCAAAAUGCAAUUACAGUUCUUCAGCAUUAAAUGUUUCAACUACUCUAGCAGGGAAACAAGUCUGUAAAAUUACAACUGCAAGAGAGAGAACUCCAGACCUAAAAGCUGGUAUGYGCUGUUCUUCACCGAUAGGACCAGAAAGAAAGCCUGACAAUCAAACCACUAAACCCAAAAAGCUGAAGUGCAAGAAAAAAGCUGAAUUCUCUAGUGCUUUAGAAGAAGAUGUAUCGUCAUUCAGCCAGCUUGAAUCUGCCCCAGAAAACACUUCAGCCAAAUCAGUGGAGUUGACAGCACAAGUACUGCCAUCCAAACAGCCAGAUGCUCUGCAAAUGAGUUCCACCAUGCUGAUCGUGGAGAAUAACAAAGCCCUGCUAAAAAACCCUGGUUAUGCUCAGCCUGUAGAGCUAGAUCCUCCACRUAACAGAGAAGAAAUCUGCUCCAUUGUUAGAACUUCACCAGUUCACAGGUCUUCCAGGCUUCACCAAAUUCCGGUUAACAGAAGUGCGUUCUGCCUUCCCAAACGAGUGCCCGAAGAUACUAUUACAAGUACCAAAAAUUGGGUCUACAAUAAACAUAUAUGAGAUUUUUGGUUUUCAGCAAGAGUCAACAGAAGAAAAAGGGUCUUGCUUCUGUGGCAGGGAGGUGAAAUGGGAACAAUAAGAAGAAUUACUGGCUGAAUUUUUUUGGCUUAUACACUGUCUGAAACUUAGUAUAAUGCUGUGUAGUAAGCCUGUAAAUGCUUUUCUUGAGCACUUUAAUAUUAAAAUUUUUGUACARGCAACUAGAUCUCUUUUUGGGCAUUGUUCUAUAAGUACUCCAUAAAGAUGAUUCUUUAGUUAGUUAAUUUUUUUUUUAAAUUGUGACUCAAGGGCAGCAGAACAGAUUGUGUUGAUGGAAUUACUUUUGGCACUUGCUAUGCCAAGACUUCUAGAUUUCUUUAGUAGUAUAGGCAUUUAAAGAUGUGACCUCUACUUAAGUGUUAACAUUGUUCAUAAAGGCAUAAAGUUUCAGGACUAUAUGUCCUGAAAAUGUAAAYGUAAAGCAUUUAUGUGCUCUCAGUGACUCAGAAGUCAGUACAGGAUAUUAAGCUACCAUUAAACUACUUGCAUGCUUAAGUCUGCAGAACUUGGGGAUACAAGACUUUGUGUAUUCUAAUGUAAAUUGAUUGAUAAUCUUGAAGAUAGGUGGUCUUUGCCCUACCAUCAUCCCAGUACAGCUGUCUACUUAUGAUCAGCACUAGCAUCAUAUACAGUGCCCAGUCACUGUCUUCCCAUUUCAUCUCGGUUAUUCUGUAAUCCCACCUAUCUCCACCCAGCUCACCUUCAGCCCAAGUGCGUUCAGUCACCCCCAGAAUCCCUGGUAUUGGGGUAUUUGUUUUGGUUAUCUGUAACUUCUUGUCAUUUCUUGCCUCCUGCUACCUUUAACUUUUUCUUAAAAAAAAAAAACAAAAAAACCCAUCAAGUAGAAUGUAUGUCUCACUACAGUAAUAUGAUAUAGCUCUUCAUGCUUUUGGCUUAAGUUUCUAUUAAGUUUACAACCUGCCACUGCACUUUGUAUGUCACAUAUCAAUGGUCCUAAUAAACUCUUUAUUUUCUAGUGCA
ensembl:lncRNA